rnacentral:rRNA from 1 species
GACGAACGCUGGCGGCGUGCCUAAUACAUGCAAGUAGAACGCUGAAGGAGGAGCUUGCUCUUCUGGAUGAGUUGCGAACGGGUGAGUAACGCGUAGGUAACCUGCCUGGUAGCGGGGGAUAACUAUUGGAAACGAUAGCUAAUACCGCAUAACAGUAGAUGUUGCAUGACAUUUGCUUAAAAGGUGCAAUUGCACCACUACCAGAUGGACCUGCGUUGUAUUAGCUAGUUGGUGGGGUAACGGCUCACCAAGGCGACGAUACAUAGCCGACCUGAGAGGGGGAUCGGCCACACUGGGACUGAGACACGGCCCAGACUCCUACGGGAGGCAGCAGUAGGGAAUCUUCGGCAAUGGACGGAAGUCUGACCGAGCAACGCCGCGGGAGUGAAGAAGGUUUUCGGAUCGUAAAGAUCUGUUGUAAGAGAAGAACGAGUGUGAGAGUGGAAAGUUCACACUGUGACGGUAUCUUACCAGAAAGAGACGGCUAACUACGUG